rnacentral:lncRNA from 1 species
UUUCAUCCACUAUUAUCAAACAAGUAACAUAUGUAAUGCAUGCCAAGUGUUUGUGAAAAUGUCUCACAGUAGCUUGUGGGCUGUUCUUUGAACUUUUGAAAUGUUUCUCUUGGAAUCUAAGUUGGAGGUUUUGAUACAUGAAAACAGACUUCUCCAUGGUUGUGUUAGAAUUGGUCUUGUGCCAUUUGAAGGAAAAAUGAAAGUUUGGUGCAAUUUCAAAGGGCUAAGUUGCUG